GAUGAACGCUGGCGGCGUGCCUAAUACAUGCAAGUCGAACGCGCAGCGAGAGGUGCUUGCACCUUUCAAGCGAGUGGCGAACGGGUGAGUAACACGUGGAUAACCUGCCUCAAGGCUGGGGAUAACAUUUGGAAACAGAUGCUAAUACCGAAUAAAACUUAGUAUCGCAUGAUAUAAAGUUAAAAGGCGCUACGGCGUCACCUAGAGAUGGAUCCGCGGUGCAUUAGUUAGUUGGUGGGGUAAAGGCUUACCAAGACAAUGAUGCAUAGCAGAGUUGAGAGACUGAUCGGCCACAUUGGGACUGAGACACGGCCCAAACUCCUACGGGAGGCUGCAGUAGGGAAUCUUCCACAAUGGGCGCAAGCCUGAUGGAGCAACGCCGCGUGUGUGAUGAAGGCUUUCGGGUCGUAAAGCACUGUUGUAUGGGAAGAAAUGCUAAAAUAGGGAAUGAUUUUAGUUUGACGGUACCAUACCAGAAAGGGACGGCUAAAUACGUGCCAGCCGCCGCAGUAA
rnacentral:rRNA from 1 species